rnacentral:tRNA from 1 species
GGGGCUAUAGGUCAGUGGUAGAGCACAUACCUAGCAUGCACAAGGUCCUGGGUUCAAUCCCCAGUACUUCCA